UCUGUUGUUGUCUAGUGGUUAGGAUAUUUGGCUUUCACCCAGGGGACCCAGGUUUGAUUCCCGGCAACGGAA
rnacentral:tRNA from 1 species